GUUACCUACGGGGGGCAGCAGUGGGGAAUAUUGCACAAUGGGGGAAACCCUGAUGCAGCAACGCCGCGUGAAGGAAGACGGUUUUCGGAUUGUAAACUUCUGUUCUUAGUGAAGAAUAAUGACGGUAGCUAAGGAGCAAGCCACGGCUAACUACGUGCCAGCAGCCGCGGUAAUACGUAGGUGGCGAGCGUUGUCCGGAAUUACUGGGUGUAAAGGGAGUGUAGGCGGGAAAGCAAGUCAGAAGUGAAAACUAUGGGCUUAACCCAUAGCCUGCUUUUGAAACUGUUUUUCUUGAGUGAAGUAGA
rnacentral:rRNA from 1 species